GGACAGUGUUAGCAGGUGAAUCCACCCUUUGCAAUGGGAGAAAUAGAUUGAAACAGAGGACAAGAAGAACAGAUUAAGAGUAAGGAGGAGAAAAUGAAUGGGUUGAAAUAAGCUAAAUAUAGAAUGACAGAGUUGCUUUAGUUGGGCUGCAAAAUGAACCUUUACAACCAUCCUGACUUUAAUGGUGCUUGCAUUAUUAAGGCUUGAACGAGCUGAAACGUCACACUGCUGAGG